GACUGGGCCCCAAAAAUGGUAUUUAGGACUUUUGGGGUGCCCUGAAACUGCCAAUUAGGAACUUUGAGGUGCCUUGAAACCAUCAUUUGGGGAUUUUGGGGGGUCUUGAAACCGCCAAUCAGGUGUUUUGGGGUGCCUCAAAAAAUGUUAGUUAGGACUGGGCCCCAAAAAUGGUAUUUAGGAAUUUUGGGGUGCCCUGAAACCGCCAGUGUCUCCUGGAUCUAUGGGGUGCCUUGAAACCCCCAAUUUCUCUAUGGACCUAUGGGGAGCCCCGAAACCGACAAUACAUUCAAAGAUCUAUGGGGUACCCCAAAACCAUGAUAGACCUAUGGGGCACCUCGAAACCGACAGUGUCUCCUGGAUCUAUGGGGAGCCCCGAAACCGCCAACUUCUCUAUGGACUUAUGGGGAGCCUCGAAACCGUCAACUUUUCCCAGGACCUAUGGGGCACCCUGAAACCACCGGUGUCUCCUGGAUCUAUGGGGGUGCCUUGAAACCCCCAAUUUCUCCAUGGACCUAUGGGGAGCCCCGAAACCGCCAAUACAUUCAAAGAUCUAUGGGGUACCCCAAAACCAUGGUGGACCUAUGGGGUGCCUCGAAACCACCAACUUCUCCACGGACUUAUGGGGCACCUCGAAACCACCGGUGUCUCCUCGAUCUAUGGGGUGCCUUGAAACCACCAAUUUCUCUAUGGACCUAUGGGGUACCCCGAAACUGCCAGUGUCUCCUGGAUCUAUGGGGAGCCCCGAAACUGUCAACUUCUCCCCGGACCUAUGGGGAGCCCCGAAACCGUCAACUUUUCCCAGGAAUUAUGGGGCGCCCCGAAACCGUCAACUUUUCCCAGGACUUAUGGGGCACCCCGAAACUGCCAGUGUCCCCAUGGACCUAUGGGGAGCCUCGAAACCCCCAAUACAGCCAAAGAUCUAUGGGGUACCCCAAAACCAUGAUAGACCUAUGGGGCACCUCGAAACCGACAGUGUCUCCUGGAUCUAUGGGGAGCCCCGAAACCGCCAACUUUUCCCAGGAAUUAUGGGGCGCCCCGAAACCGCCAACUUCUCCCUGGACCUAUGGGGUGCCUUGAAACCCCCAAUUUCUCUGUGGACCUAUGGGGUACCCCGAAACCACCGGUGUCUCCUGGAUCUAUGGGGAGCCCCGAAACCGUCAACUUUUCCCAGGAAUUAUGGGGCACCCCAAAACUGCCAGUGUCUCCUGGACCUAUGGGGUGCCUUGAAACCCCCAAUUUCUCUGUGGACCUAUGGGGCACCUCGAAACCACCGGUGUCUCCUGGAUCUAUGGGGAGCCCCGAAACCGCCAAAUUUUCCCAGGACUUAUGGGGCACCCCG
rnacentral:lncRNA from 1 species